GGCUGCAUGCCGCAUGGCCGUGCUGUCGCGCGGACAGCCGUCUGCAUCCAUGUAAGCCAAACAGUCGACGUGGCCCUCGGUGACGGCGUUCAAAUAGGCACACGGACUCCAUGAACAGCCGCGCGCGCGCAAGUCGCGCAUGUAGUCGAUCCGGCCGGUGCAUGCGGCCGCCAGGAGCGCAUCGUCUCGAACGGCGCACCCACGGUCAAACAGCCAUCUAACGCAGUCGUCGCGCUGGUCGGAAAUCGCCGCGACCAAGGCAUCCGAAUCUGGACGGUGGCCCUCGGCAUCCAAGAGUCGCAUGAGAUCGAGCCGUCCGCCCGCGGCAGCUUUCCUCUGCAGGCCCGAUGACCAAAGCGACGGUGCCGCCUCGAUCAUGCCUUGAUGCAAAAGGUAGUCCAGAGUGUCACAGUCGGACCACGUGGCCGCCACCGCAGUCGCCUCCCCCCGUGAGCACCGAGGUGCGCGCCGGCGCAACAGGUCCAACAUCUCUACGCUGCAUCGGUGCUCCAGGCCCAGCACAAACGAGUCGGCAUGGAGUGGGCGCUCGUUGGGCGGUUCGCAGAGCCAGCGGACCACAUCGACGUGAUCAGCGCGGAUCGCCUUUUUCGCGCACUUGUCGGCGUCCCAUGGGCAACCGCGAGCGCGUGCGCGCUCAAUCCGGGCAAUGUCGCCUGCAGCCGCCGCAAAAGCGCACACGUCCUUGUCCCACGGACAUCCGUAUUCAUGCAACACGUCGACAAAGUCCCAUGCUCCGAGAUAGGCCGCCUCACGCAUGACUCUGCGCGUCCAUGUGUACCCGUGCGCUUGCAGCACGGCCGCCGUAUCAAACGAACCGGAUACGAUCGCGGUGGCGCUAAUGUCGUCGCACGGACAGCCGGCGUCGAGCGCGUAGGCCAGACAGGCGACGGCACCGCGCCGCGCGGCAACCUCGCACACUGCGCCAUCCCAGGGACAUCCUUGCUCGUGGAGAUAACGCAGGCAAUCGAGGUGGCCCUCGCGGCGGGCAUACGGAUCGCAUACGUCAGCGCCGCCAACGGCCGCCUCUGUUGCGCUCUCGUCCCAGGGGCAACCUUGUUCGUGCAGAUACCGCAGGCAGUCGAGGUGGCCGCCUGCCGCGGCGGCCGCCGUCGCGGUGUGAUCCCAUAAACAGCCUCGUUCGUGCAGAUACCGCAGGCAGUCGAGGUGCCCGGCGGCGGCGGCCGCACGACACACGUCGCUGUCAAAACGAUGGCCGGCGGCGUGGGCAUAAACGAGACAUUCGAUUCGGCCCCUGCUGGCCGCCUCCGUGGCCACUAGGCUCCAAUAGAUGGUGAUGCCGCGGGUGGCCAUGGCAUGCAACACACCAACGUGCCCGCCGCGUGCCGCGACCUUUUCCACGGACGUGUCUGACCACAGGGGGCCUUGGGCACAUCCGGCAUCGUAGAACCGCGCAAACAGAUCGGCGCGGCCGUGGCGCGCGGCCGAUUCGCACUCGGCGCCCGACCACGGACACCCGAUCGACAACGCGUGGUCGACGCACUCGGCGUGCAACAUGGCAGCUGCCGACGCGCAAGGGUUUUCGUGCCUGGUGGCGGGGGCGCACAUACCACGCGGCGAUGCCGCACGAUCCCCUACGAUGGCAAACCAGCGUCGGCACACCCGUGCGGCUCGCCGCCGCACGAGACACGGCAACUGCGCCAGAAUGUGCGCCAACACUUCAUCGGGCAGGCGGUCAACAUGCGACGAUAUGGUGGCACAAAGGUAUCUGUCUGGGCUCCCGCGUUGGUGUGCAGACGGCGUCCCACACGUCCGAGCGGCCACGGAGAGGCGACGUUUUUUGAAAAAGGGCUCGUCGGCAGCAGGUGCGGCGCCGCCACCUGCGAACCGCGCUUCCAUGACGCUUUGUCUUGUCUGUUUCUUUCUUUCUUUUUUUGCUAGGUCCGGCCCCGUCGAUGAUCCGUCGCAGCGUCUUGUGCGCAGCCUUUUCUUUUUCCUUGGUGUGCGCGUGUGCGUCUUUGCCAGCAAGCACGGCGGCUUUGGGACAGUAGCAACCACACGGUGAUUUAAGUAAUAAAGAGAGAGAGAGAGAGAGAGAGAGAGAGAGAGAGA
rnacentral:lncRNA from 1 species